rnacentral:lncRNA from 1 species
UUAAAAUACCUCACUUUUUAAUUGACAACAAAAGUCUGUGCCUCUUUUUGUUACUGAUACUGAGGAAGUAGAAGAGUUCUUGUGUCCUAAAUCUACAAGAAGCUGUGCAAUUCAUCUUUGCCCCUCUGCGGGGUCUGAAGCUGAGCUCUGACCUAGCCUUCUCCUUUGCAGAGUUUUGCAAUAGAAGUAGAUGCGGAACAGCUAGACUCUGGAAGAGGAAAUUCUCCUGUCACUAGCGAGCUCUGAGAGACUCUGGGUCCUCCUACAAGCUCCUACUGGGUCCCUUGAAGUUGGUUUACGCUUUUAGACAUAUCUAGUUAUGUUGCAAAGAGGAAAUGGCUCUUUACCCUUAACAAUCCAUGCAGAUAAGGAUCGCUAGCUGCCAGAGAACCUGUUUUUCUGAGUAGUGAUGUAAAGCCAGCAGGACUGGUGACAAGGGCUUGCCUUUCCUAGGCAGGAUUCAUCCCAGCAGAGUGUGGUGCACAGCAGUCAACAGCUCAGACAUUGCUGCAGCAGAAUAACCACGAAUCUGGGGUACUUCCCAGCCUGUUUCAGCCAAGCAAGGCUUGCCACAACUCACAGCAGAAUUUCUGUCACUGGGAGAAGCUGUUAUAUUCGCAUAGGGAGAGAUACUAAGUUAAAAGUCGGAGGUUUUAUUUGUUCUCAAGUCAAGGGUGGAGGUUUUCAAAGCGGCACAGUGGACCAAACUUACUGUCCCCCAUUACUGGCAUGUGAAGUUGUUGAAAGCAGCUGAAGUACCAGAAGAGUUGGGAAAUCUGCAGUCCAUUGGCUGCACUAACAACACGGAGAAACAUCUGCACUGCCAGCCUUCUCAGUUCUGCCUGCUACUGUUAAUUAUUUAGAGCAGAGCUAACACUGGAGCCUUUUUUUCUUCUCUUACAUGCAUAAACAUUUUACUGGCAAUUUAUAAAGAUAAGUGCAUUUUAAGAUGCAAGAUUCGCUUUCAGAGACUUUCAGAUAUGAGUGAACACAAAAUGAUCUUGCUAUUUCACCAAUCAGUGUAAAAUGCUGCCUGUGAUUAUUUUUAAUAGAGAUGUUAAUCUCUUGAACUGCUUGAGAAAAUGUUUCAAGUGCAACAUAUUGGUGCAUUAAAAUUAAAGUACUGAGCAGCACAAUGUAGUGCC